rnacentral:rRNA from 1 species
GACGAACGCUGGCGGCGUGCCUAAUACAUGCAAGUAGAACGCACAGUUUAUACCGUAGCUUGCUACACCAUAGACUGUGAGUUGCGAACGGGUGAGUAACGCGUAGGUAACCUGCCUGGUAGCGGGGGAUAACUAUUGGAAACGAUAGCUAAUACCGCAUAAUAUUUAUUAUUGCAUGAUAAUUAAUUGAAAGGUGCAAUUGCACCACUACCAGAUGGACCUGCGUUGUAUUAGCUAGUAGGUGAGGUAACGGCUCACCUAGGCGACGAUACAUAGCCGACCUGCGAGGGUGAUCGGCCACACUGGGACGGAGACACGCCCCAGACUCAUACGGAAGGCAGCAGUAGGGAUUCUUCGGCAAUGGACGAAAGUCUGACCGAGAAACGCGGAGUGAGUGAAGAAGGUUUUCGGAUCGUAAAGCUCUGUUGUAAGAGAAGAACGGGUGUGAGAGUGGAAAGUUCACACUGUGACGGUAUCUGACCAGAAAGGGACGGCUAACUACGUG